rnacentral:lncRNA from 10 species
UUACAGGCGCGAGCCACUGCCCCUGGCCCUAAGCUAAAAAAUUGCCAAAGAAUGAACCACAAAAUCCAGGAGCAAAUUCUGCCAGAGGAAGAGGAGUAGACCUUACCGAACCCACACAACCAACCAGGAAUCAGUGUUGUAGUAACUAAACCUCUAGUUUGAACUAGCUGGAAUAGUCUUCUGCUUCCUAAAUGUUAAUAACAAUGGAAUUGGAGCAUUUAACCAGCCCAGUAUGACUUCCAAAAGAAGAGACUUAUGAUAGAGUCAAGUUUCUAAUACAGAAUUAUUUUAAGUGUUUUGAACUUAAUUUUUAAUAACAUGCAUGGGUCCCUCUCACUAAUGUUUCAACAAUAGGGAAAAAUGAGAACUAUGUGGACACUUGUUUCAUUGGAAGGUUAGGGGGAAUAAUUUCUCAUCACUAGGAAUAUAGACAAAUGACUGUCUGGGCCCACACAGUUAACCAGCCCAUUUCUCCACACUGGUACAGUAGUCACCUG